rnacentral:rRNA from 1 species
GGAUAACUCCGGGAAACCGGGGCUAAUACCGGAUGGUUGUUUGAACCGCAUGGUUCAAACAUAAAAGGUGGCUUCGGCUACCACUUACAGAUGGACCCGCGGCGCAUUAGCUAGUUGGUGAGGUAACCAAGGCAACGAUGCGUAGCCGACCUGAGAGGGUGAUCGGCCACACUGGGACUGAGACACGGCCCAGACUCCUACGGGAGGCAGCAGUAGGGAAUCUUCCGCAAUGGACGAAAGUCUGACGGAGCAACGCCGCGUGAGUGAUGAAGGUUUUCGGAUCCUCUGUUGUUAGGGAAGAACAAGUACCGUUCGAAUAGGGCGGUACCUUGACGGUGGCUCACACCUAACCAGAAAGCCACGGCUAACUACGUGCCAGCAGCCGCGGUAAUACGUAGGUGGCAAGCGUUGUCCGGAAUUAUUGGGCGUAAAGGGCUCGCAGGCGGUUUCUUAAGUCUGAUGUGAAAGCCCCCGGCUCAACCGGGGAGGGUCAUUGGAAACUGGGGAACUUGAGUGCAGAAGAGGAGAGUGGAAUUCCACGUGUAGCGGUGAAAUGCGUAGAGAUGUGGAGGAACACCAGUGGCGAAGGCGACUCUCUGGUCUGUAACUGACGCUGAGGAGCGAAAGCGUGGGGAGCGAACAGGAUUAGAUACCCUGGUAGUCCACGCCGUAAACGAUGAGUGCUAAGUGUUAGGGGGUUUCCGCCCCUUAGUGCUGCAGCUAACGCAUUAAGCACUCCGCCUGGGGAGUACGGUCGCAAGACUGAAACUCAAAGGAAUUGACGGGGGCCCGCACAAGCGGUGGAGCAUGUGGUUUAAUUCGAAGCAACGCGAAGAACCUUACCAGGUCUUGACAUCCUCUGACAAUAGAUAGGACGUCCCCUUCGGGGGCAGAGUGACGUAAAGAGGUGGUGCAUGGUUGUCGUCAGCUCGUGUCGUGAGAUGUUGGGUUAAGUCCCGCAACGAGCGCAACCCUUGAUCUUAGUUGCCAGCAUUCAGUUGGGCACUCUAAGGUGACUGCCGGUGACAAACCGGAGGAAGGUGGGGAUGACGUCAAAUCAUCAUGCCCCUUAUGACCUGGGCUACACACGUGCUACAAUGGACAGAACAAAGGGCAGCGAAACCGCGAGGUUAAGCCAAUCCCACAAAUCUGUUCUCAGUUCG